CACACAUACAAAAGACACCUUAAUAAGAAAAACCAAGAGAGAAAUUUUCGGGAUUGUUUUAUUUUUUUACCUUUUUCAAAUCAUUUUUCUUUAUUUUUAAUUUGGUUGUUUUUGGUGGCAUUAGGUGGUGGUGUGGGUGGUGUUGAAUGCUUUUCAGUUCUCUCACAACCACCCUCUCGAUCUGUAUCCAUCUCUGGAUAAUCUCUGUAAUUCCGCUCUUUCUCUCUCUCUCUCUCUCUAACGCAAACACAAAUAAUUUGUUUGAAUUAGAGAGAUAGGUUCGUACGUACGUGCAUGGUUGCAUGCAUGCAGACGGAGUCCAAGCCAAUUGUACUGACGUGAAGUUUGUACGUAGCUGCAGCUGCAUCCAUGCAAACCUAUCCAACGUAAAAGUUGCAUUAUUGCAUGUACAGGGGAAAUUGGGAAGGAGGAAACUUUGAUAGAAA